rnacentral:tRNA from 1 species
UUUCUUAAAGUAAACAAUUACAUUUUAAUUUCGACUUAAAUUUCUGGUUAAUUAUAAACCUAAGAAAA